rnacentral:rRNA from 1 species
GACGUAGGGCGCGAGCGUUGUCCGGAUUUAUUGGGCGUAAAGAGCUCGUAGGCGGCUCGUUGCGUCGGCUGUGAAAACCCGCAGCUCAACUGUGGGCUUGCAGCUGAUACGGGCGGGCUGGGAUUCGGUAGGGGAGACUGGAAUUCCUGGUGUAGCGGUGAAAUGCGCAGAUAUCAGGAGGAACACCGGUGGCGAAGGCGGGUCUCUGGGCCAAUAUCGACGCUGAGGAGCGAAAGCGUGGGGAGCGAACAGG